rnacentral:rRNA from 1 species
AGAGUUUGAUCAUGGCUCAGAAUCAACGCUGGCGGCGUGCCUAACACAUGCAAGUCGAACGAGAAAGUGGAGCAAUCCAUGAGUAAAGUGGCGCACGGGUGAGUAACACGUGACUAACCUACCCUGGAGUGGGGGAUGACUGAGGGAAACCUUAGCUAAUACCGCAUAAUACCCACGGGUCAAAGGAGCAAUUCGCUUCAGGAGGGGGUCGCGGCCGAUUAGUUAGUUGGCGGGGUAAUGGCCCACCAAGACGAUGAUCGGUAUCCGGCCUGAGAGGGCGCACGGACACACUGGAACUGAAACACGGUCCAGACUCCUACGGGAGGCAGCAGUGGGGAAUUUUGCGCAAUGGGGGAAACCCUGACGCAGCAACGCCGCGUGGAGGAUGAAGUCCUUCGGGACGUAAACUCCUUUCGAUCGGGACGAUUAUGACGGUACCGGAAGAAGAAGCCCCGGCUAACUUCGUGCCAGCAGCCGCGGUAAUACGAGGGGGGCGAGCGUUGUUCGGAAUUAUUGGGCGUAAAGGGUGCGUAGGCGGUUUGGUAAGUCUUAUGUGAAAUCUACAGGCUCAACUUGUAGUCUGCAUGAGAAACUGCCGGGCUUGAGUAUGGGAGAGGCGAGUGGAAUUCCUGGUGUAGCGGUGAAAUGCGUAGAUAUCAGGAGGAACACCUGUGGCGAAAGCGGCUCACUGGACCAUAACUGACGCUGAUGCACGAAAGCUAGGGGAGCAAACAGGAUUAGAUACCCUAGUAGUCC